CCCUUAGAUGUUCUGGGCCGCACGCGCGCUACACUGAUCAGUGCAACAAGCAUCCGUCCUUGGCCGACAGGCCCGGGCAAUCUUUGAACGCUGAUCGUGAUGGGGAUAGACUUUUGCAAUUUUUGGUCUUCAACGAGGAAUUCCUAGUAAACGCAAGUCAUCAACUUGCAUUGAUUACGUCCCUGCCCUUUGUACACACCGCCCGUCGCACCUACCGAUUGAAUGGUCCGGUGAAGCCUCCGGAUUGGCGUGCACCCUCGGGUGCUGCCGAGAAGUUGACUAAACCUUACCAUUUAGAGGAAGGUGAAGUCGUAACA
rnacentral:rRNA from 1 species